UUUAAUUUAAAUUAUUUCUUGAGUAGUAAAAGUUAUUAUCUUCAAACUCAACAGAUUUGGCGGUAUUUUAUCUUAUUAGAGGAACUUGUUUAUUAAUUGAUAUUCCACAACUAUUAUUUACUUUUUAUUAUAUUACUUGUAUGCCGCCGUCAUGAAUAUAUUAAAAAAUUUAUUUUCUAUAAUUUUUAUUAAAUUAAUGUUAGGUCAAGGUGCAGUUUUAAAAAGAAUUUAUGAGUUACAAUAAAAAUUAUGAAUGGAAAAUAUGAAGUUAUAUUAUUAUAAAAAGGAUUUAAAAGUAAAUUUAUUAAUAGAAAUACUAUGAAUUUAGAUUCUAAAAUAUGU
rnacentral:rRNA from 1 species